GCCGAGGGCGGACGGUUGUGAGUUCCAGGCGGUCGCUGACGGACGUCGGCGGUACCCCUGGCUGCAUCUGAAAAACCCGGUGUCGGCGGUUCGAUCCCGCCCCUCGGCACCA
rnacentral:tRNA from 1 species